GCCUGUCUAGAUCAGUUGGUAGAGCAUCAGAUUCUUAAUCUGAGGGUCAUGGGUUCAAGUCCCUGGUCAGGUG